UGGGGAAUUUUGGACAAUGGGCGAAAGCCUGAUCCAGCAAUGCCGCGUGUGUGAAGAAGGCCUUCGGGUUGUAAAGCACUUUUGUCCGGAAAGAAAUCCUUGGCUCUAAUACAGUCGGGGGAUGACGGUACCGGAAGAAUAAGCACCGGCUAACUACGUGCCAGCAGCCGCGGUAAUACGUAGGGUGCAAGCGUUAAUCGGAAUUACUGGGCGUAAAGCGUGCGCAGGCGGUUUGCUAAGACCGAUGUGAAAUCCCCGGGCUCAACCUGGGAACUGCAUUGGUGACUGGCAGGCUAGAGUAUGGCAGAGGGGGGUAGAAUUCCACGUGUAGCAGUGAAAUGCGUAGAGAUGUGGAGGAAUACCGAUGGCGAAGGCAGCCCCCUGGGCCAAUACUGACGCUCAUGCACGAAAAGCGUGGGGGAGCAAACAGGACUAGAUACCCUGGUAGUCCACGCCCUAAACGAUGUCAACUAGUUGUUGGGGAUUCAUUUCCUUAGUAACGUAGCAACGCGUGAAGUUGACCGCCUGGGGAGUACGGUCGCAAGAUUAAAACUUAAAUGAAUUGACGGGGUCAUAGCUGUUUCCU
rnacentral:rRNA from 1 species